GGGACUACAAACAUGCACCACCACACCUGGCUCCCAGUCUCUGUAUUAGAAUUCCCCAGCUGCAUGUAACAACAACAACAAAAAAAUUAAAGCAAAGAGGAAAAAUGGCUCUUUCCGUGCUUAGCGCAGCCAUGGCCCAAGGUCCCAAGAAGCAUCUGAAGCGUGUAGCAGCUCCAAAGCAUUGGAUGCUGGAUAAGCUGACCGGUGUGUUUGCUCCUCGUCCAUCCACCGGUCCCCACAAGCUGAGAGAGUGUCUCCCACUCAUCAUUUUCCUAAGAAACAGGCUUAAAGUAUGCCCUGACAGGAGAUGAAGUGAAGAAGAUCUGCAUGCAGCGCUUCAUUAAAAUCGAUGGCAAGGUCCGAACUGAUAUAACCUACCCUGCUGGAUUUAUGGAUGUCAUCAGCAUUGACAAGACUGGAGAGAAUUUCCGUCUGAUUUAUGACACCAAGGGUCGCUUUGCUGUUCAUCGUCACACCUGAGGAGGCCAAGUACAAGUUGUGCAAAGUGAGAAAAAUCUUUGUGGGCACAAAAGGAAUCCCUCAUCUGGUGACUCAUGACGCUCGUACCAUCCGCUAUCCUGAUCCACUCAUCGAAGUGAAUGACACCAUUCAGAUUUAUUUGGAGACUGGCAAGAUUACUGAUUUCAUCAAGUUUGACACUGGUAACCUGUGUAUGGUGACUGGAGGCGCUAACUUGGGAAGAAUUGGUGUGAUCACAACAGAGAAAGACAUCCCGGGUCUUUUGAUGUGGUUCACAUGAAAGAUGCCAAUGGCAACAGCUUUGCCACUCGCCUCUCCAACAUUUUCGUUAUUGGCAAAGGCAACAAACCAUGGAUUUCUCUUCCUCGAGGAAAAGGUAUCCGCCUCACCAUUGCUGAAGAGAGGGAUAAGAGACUGGCAGCCAAACAGAGCAGUGGGUGAAAUGGUCUCCAUGUAACAUAAUAACAUGUUAAAAAGUUAUUUGUACUUAAAGAUAUUACAGUGUGAAAAAAAAAAGAGGAAAAAUGUAUUAGAAUAAUACUGGGAUAUUUUAUGUCACUAAGCCAAGGAAAUAAAUUAUGGUAUAAAUAAUG